CUUUGUGAUUCAUGACUGGGGUGAAGUCGUAACAAGGUAACCGUAGGGGAACCUGCGGUUGGAUCACCUCCUUA
rnacentral:rRNA from 28 species